rnacentral:lncRNA from 1 species
CAAGAUUGUGCCUAUUGAUAAAUAAAGAGGAAACAAUCACUGUAAUUUCAGCUAUUAAAAAUUAAAAAAAUCCAAGUGCAAUCAAUUAUCUCGAUCAAUAAAUUAAUGUUGCCCUUCUUGUAGCAGAUUGUACUGCAGGCCUAUUUUGAACUACUAGAUCAGUAACUUUUGCCUAGAGUUUUGAACAGGUAGGCGACAGUGACCACUUUUUCUCUUGGUUAUCGU